GAAGUUCUAUAAAUGGUUUUAUAGACAUUCCAUUACUUCCUGUUCUGUGGUUUACAUGCAAUAGAACUGAACAGAGUUGGAUUACUGGAGAGUUUAUGAAAUCCCAGUGGGUGAUAACCCCCUGCUGCUUUUACAUUCCAGGAGACCUGAGCUUGUUCCAAUAGAGAACAUGCCUUCAUUUACCAGAACAAAUCAAAGAGAGGUCACAGCAUUAGCAUUCAGUGGGAGUGCAGUAAGAAUCUGGAUCAAGUUCUCGCGCUGCUAGGAUUAGUAGGAUUGUUUGUUUUUUUCUCCUCAUUUGCUUUGCGAAAGUUUCUGAUGGGUGGAGCAUCCAGUAACCCCUAUUUCCCAAGCUCUUUCAACUUCCGUUAGAAGCAAGUACUUUCCUGUCCUGAUUGUGAUUUUUAGCAGAGGUGAACUGGACCCUGUGAGCACUCUCAGCUAUUAAAUGUGCCCUUAAAAGAUUCAAAACAUGAGAUUGCCUGCAAAGAUUAUUUGGUUGAUAUUAUGGACUGUUUGUGCAGCAGAAGGUAAGAUGAAAACAAAAAUGCUUUUUCCUCAUAAGUGUAUUAGGAAACAUUUGCUGAUGUUGUUUUUCACAUAGUUAAAAUUUAGUCUAGAAAAUGUGAUUUAAUUAGUAGUUUGUAGCUCAGUGUUUGGCUUUUGACAUUUUAUACGUUAAAAAUGGAAUUACCUGGGCUGGGGCUGUAGCUCAGUGGUAAAGUGCUUGCCUCGAACGUAUGAGGAACUGGG
rnacentral:lncRNA from 1 species